rnacentral:rRNA from 1 species
CCUACGGGUGGCUGCAGUGAGGAAUAUUGGUCAAUGGGAGAGAUCCUGAACCAGCCAAGCCGCGUGAGGGACGACGGCCCUAUGGGUUUUAAACCUCUUUUGUCGGAGAAAAAAAUCCGGGACGUGUCCCGGACUGCGUGUCUCCGCAGAUAAAGCAUCGCCAAACUCGGUGCAGGCAGCCGCGGUAAUACGGAGGAUCCGAGCGUUAUCCGGUUUUAUUGGGUUUAACGGGUGCGUGGGCGGUCCGUUAAGUCAGCGGGAAAAUCCCGGGGCGAAACAGCGAAGCGCCAUUGAAACUGGCAGACUUGAGUUGGCGAGAGGUACGCGGAAUGCGCGGUGUAGCGGUGAAAUGCAUAGAGAUCGCGCAGAACACCGAUUGCGAAGGCAGCGUACUGGCGCCCGACUGACGCUGAGGCACGAAAGCGUGGGGAGCGAACAGGAUUAGAUACCCUUGUAGUC